GACGUAGGGGGCGAGCGUUGUCCGGAUUUACUGGGCGUAAAGCGCACGUAGGUGGCGACGUAAGUCGGGUGUGAAAGCCCCGGGCUCAACCUGGGAAUUGCAUUCGAGACUGCAUUGCUGGAGUACGGAAGAGGAAGGCGGAAUUCCCGGUGUAGCGGUGAAAUGCGUAGAUAUCGGGAGGAACAUCAGUGGCGAAGGCGGCCUUCUGGUCCAGUACUGACACUCAAGUGCGAAAGCGUGGGGAGCAAACAGG
rnacentral:rRNA from 1 species